CCGGCAGCCGCGGUAAUUCCAGCUCCAAUAGCGUAUAUUAAAGUUGUUGCAGUUAAAAAGCUCGUAGUUGAAUUUCUGGUAGGGUGCCAAUGUCCGCCGCCGUGCGUGCGCAGCGGCGCCCUUCCAUCCUUCUGUCAACGCUUCUCGGCAUUCGUUUGCUGGUAGCGGGCUCAGAUAUUUUACCUUGAGAAAAUUAGAGUGUUUCAGGCAGGCUAGGCCGGAAUACAUUAGCAUGGAAUAAUGGAAUAGGACUACGGUCUCUUUGUUGGUUUGAGGCACUGCAGUACUGAUUAAUAGGGAUAGUUGGGGACAUUAGUAUUUAAUUGUCAGAGGUGAAAUUCUCGGAUUUGUUAAAGACUAACUUAUGCGAAAGCAUUUGCCAAGGAUGUUUUCAUUAAUCAAGAACGAAAGU
rnacentral:rRNA from 1 species